AGAGUUUGAUCAUGGCUCAGGAUGAACGCUGGCGGCGUGCUUAACACAUGCAAGUCGAACGUGAAGCCCGGUACCUAGUAUUGGGUGGAAAGUGGCGAACGGGUGAGUAACACGUUGGUGACCUGCCCUGAGGAGGGGAAUAACCGUGGGAAACCACGGCUAAUACCCCGGAUGUCUAAGCUGUUAGAGGGCUUAGACUAAAGCCCCUGCAAGGGGUGCGCCUCGGGAGGGGCCUGCGGGCUAUCAGCUUGUUGGUGGGGUAAUGGCUUACCAAGGCGAAGACGGCUAGGGGGCGUGAGAGCGCGACCCCCCACAAUGGAACUGAGACACGGUCCAUACUCCUACGGGAGGCAGCAGUGAGGAAUAUUGCGCAAUGGGGGCAACCCUGACGCAGCAACGCCGCGUGGACGAUGAAGGCCUUCGGGUUGUAAAGUCCUUUUCUGAAGGAAGAUAGUGACGGUACUUCAGGAAUAAGUCCCGGCUAACUACGUGCCAGCAGCCGCGGUAAAACGUAGGGGGCGAGCGUUAUCCGGAUUUACUGGGCGUAAAGCGCACGUAGGCGGCAUCGUAAGUUGGACGUGAAAGCUCCCGGCUCAACUGGGAGAGGUCGUUCAAAACUGUGGUGCUUGAGGUUGAUAGAGGAGAGUGGAAUUCCCGGUGUAGUGGUGGAAUGCGUAGAUAUGCGGAGGAACACCAGUGCGGAAGCGGGUCUCUAGGUCACAACUGACGCUG
rnacentral:rRNA from 1 species